GAUGAACGCUGGCGGCGUGCCUAACACAUGCAAGUCGAACGGAAGGUCCCUUCCUUGGUACUGUGAUCGACUGGCGAACGGGUGAGUAACACAUGAGUAACCUGCCACUGACGGAGGGAUAAAUGCAGGAAACUGGGGUUAAUACCGGUAAAGAGAUCCGGCAUCGUGGUGGGAGUAGGAAAGUUUCGGUGGUUGGGGAUGGACUCGCGGCUUAUCAGCUUGUUGGGGGGGUAGUGGCUUACCACGGCUUUGACGGGUAGCCGCCCUGAGAGGGUGACCGGCAUCAUUGGCACAGAGAUACGGGCGGGAGCCGUAAGGGAGGCAGCAGUGGGGACUAUUGAACGAUGCGCGGAAGCCGGGUGCAGGAUGGCCGUGUUAUGGAUGGUGGCCUUCGGGUGGAAGGCAGGUUUCAGCUGUGACGGUAGGUGAAUGACGGUACCGUGUAAAUAAGCACCGGCUAACUCCGUG
rnacentral:rRNA from 1 species